rnacentral:lncRNA from 1 species
GGGCUUUCUACAUAGUGCUUCCUCUGCUGAUAUCUGUGUCAUGUAAGGAACACAUGUAUGCUGUACAUAACCAUUUUAUUUUCAGGCAUUAUACAUUACAUGUUCCUCUUAAAUUGUUAUAUUUGUUUAUUUUACAGAUGUUCUUUCCCAGACAGUUAUUCUGGACCAACCUGGAUCUGCAGUUGUGAAACCCUCUGAAACCCUGAAAAUCCCAUGUAAAGUCUCAGUGUCUGUUACUAGUGCUACCUGGGUUUGGGUCAGACAGAAAGCAGGGUCAGCACUGGAAUAUAUUGGGUAUAUUGGUAGUGGUGGGGGCACAAGCUAUGCCUCGAUCUUCCAAGGAAAAGUCACUUUCACCAGAGACACAUCAAAAAAUGAACUUUACUUUGAAAUGCCAAAUAUGAGAAGUGACGAUUCUGGGACAUAUUACUGUGCGAGAUACAUA